rnacentral:rRNA from 1 species
UGGGGAAUAUUGCACAAUGGGGGAAACCCUGAUGCAGCGACGCCGCGUGAGCGAAGAAGGCCUUCGGGUCGUAAAGCUCUUUUAUAUGGGAAGAUAAUGACGGUACCAUAAGAAAAAGCCCCGGCUAACUACGUGCCAGCAGCCGCGGUAAUACGUAGGGGGCUAGCGUUGUCCGGAAUCACUGGGCGUAAAGGGUUCGCAGGCGGCAAUGCAAGUCAGAUGUAAAAGGCAAAGACUCAACCUUUGUAAGCAUCUGAAACUGUAUAGCUUGAGAAGUGUAGAGGCAAGUGGAAUUUUUAGUGUAGCGGUGAAAUGCGUAGAUAUUAAAAAGAAUACCGGUGGCGAAGGCGACUUGCUGGGCACAAUCUGACGCUGAGGAACGAAAGCGUGGGGAGCAAACAGG